rnacentral:siRNA from 1 species
UUGUAAACGAGGUGGUAAUAUAGG